CAAAAGGCACCCAGAGAGAGGUGGUAAAAUCUUUUAUUAUCAGAAUUUGAUAAAACCAACAUCUGCAGAAACUGAAGGAGGGUGAGGACAACGGCUCUUGGGGGAGAGCAUAGCAGUGUCACUGUGCUGACCACACCUUUCCUUUCAAAGUUAUCUUGGGGGCUGUUUAUUUGAAGUUUUGUGUCAGUAGGGGGCUAGCAGGAAACAGAUGGCCCAGUCAAACUGGGUGAUGGAGGAAGUUUAAGAAAGGGACCGUUUGCAGAGACAUGGGCUGGGUUCAGGGAAACCAGGAGACUGCAGGCGUGGUGGUGGGUGAGGGGCCGUCACCACCUCUGGGCCUGGAAAGCAAGGAGGCGGGGAGGCUGGACCCCAGAGGCAGCUGCAGGAAGAGGGCCACGUGGCAGGCACUGUAGCUUUCCCAGCCCUGCACGGGGCCAUGCAGCCAGCCUGCCCCUCUGGAGGUGUGCCCAGGAGGAUUUGAUUUACCCCCCAAUUCUUCCUCAAAUGUGUCCCAGUUUGGACAGUAAAUAGUUAGAUCAUCCAGGCAAGGGCACCCGUUAGCCCAGUCCACUUGGAACAGUCUCAGGAGAAAGAAAGCAAAGCAGA
rnacentral:lncRNA from 1 species